GGCACCCAAUAAAUACAUAAUUAUUAGAAUGAAUACAUUCUAUCACAAUGUCUUAAUUCAACAGAUUCUUGGCACCUGUGGAUUUAACACUGGUAGUUUCUACUAUGUACAAAUGGCUUUCUAGGGUCAUGGCAUUCAGGUAUCAAAGAAACUGAUGUUUUCAGCUCAUGUUCACAUAGUUACUCUUACAAAGUAAUAUAAUCCUGGUUCUACUACUUACAAUCUGUGUAACCUUGAACAAAUUCCUUAAACUCUUGUGGAGCUGCUGUGAAGGUUAAAUGAGUUAAUUCACAUAAAUACUUAAAAUCGCAUCUGAUACACAGUAGAUAAUAUUCAAUAAAUAUUAGCUCUGUGUGUGUGUGUGUGCGUGUGUCAUACUUAUGAAAAGAAAGCCAACAGGUGGUACCAAAAGUGAAGAUAAAAUAAGAUAGUCUAAUCAAGUGAUGGUUUUCACACACACAAAAAGGAUGUUUUAUGGUGGAAAAUGUUAUUCUAUAGCUGUGUUCUUGAACUUUAAAAGUAGCAAUGAUCUUGAAAUAAAUCUCUCAGAAAUGUGAAGACUGUACUUCUUGCUGAAAUCAAUAUAACAGCCUAACAGGUGUCUCCUGUCUUGAUAAAGUAGGCCAUUCCUAAAUCUAUCCCAUGCUGUGGAUGUUAUUCCCACUGCUAAAACAACUUUACUCACAGUCUGUUCAAUGCUAAUCUCAAAUAUAAUCUCAUCAGUAAAUUCUUUUCCUAAUCAUUUUCCAAGAUACCUGAUUACUCCUGUCUUUGAAAUAUCCAAAUAGUCUACAGCCGUACCAUCCUGAAUGUGCCCUAUCUCAUCUGAAACAUCCAAAUAACCUCGAACUUCUUAUUCUACUACAUAGUAAAAUCAUUUGUGUACUUAUCCUACUAGAUUAUAUGAGACUGCUUCUUGUUCAUCAUGCAUUCAAGAUUUACUGAGUGCUUGUCAUAUGCGAGGUACAGAGGAUACAAAGGCAAUGAGGACAUGCAAUAAAUAAUGCAGCAACACCAUAGCAGUAGGUACACUAUGCAGAGAUGGCAUAAAUGAGGAUGAUCUCUUCUACCACACAUCUGCAGUAUCUAGAAUGGCACAACAUGUAUGGUAGGGACCCAUAAGUAUUUGUCAACUUUAAUUCCUACCUGCUUUUUGAAGUUUUUCCAUACCACUAUAGCUUCCCUUUUUUUUUGGUUCUCCUCAAGGAGAAUGGUAUAGACAGAAUUUGCUCCCUAAAAGUCUGUCUACACCAUUCUGCACAUGGUAUCUUUUAAUCUAUGUGUUAGCAUCACAGGCUGUUAUUUAAUAUUUUACAUAUAAAUAUGUCCUAUCUUCCCCAACUAUAAAACAUGUGUUCAAAAGAGCAAGAAAUCCUAGAGCACUCUGUACUUAUUACUAAGCAUUUAGUAUCUGUUCAAUGGUCCUACAAUUUCCGAAAGCAACCAAAAUAUGUCAUGCACCUAUUUACAUAGCUGAUAGCAUCACUUCUGAACCACCCCACCUGUGCUCUGGGUUCUCUAUGAAACAAGUAGCUUUCACAUAGGUGUUCUUAAAGCAGGAGGCCAAAGAAAUGUCUGCUGGAAGCAUGAGACUAUGUCAUUGUUCUCAAGCUAGGAGUCCAGAACUUAGAAAUUCUGACAGAUUUAGCUCUUCUUCCAUCUAGAUGCCUGGGUCCUCUGAGAAUUCAGACACAAAUUUGUAUAAUGAAUUCACCCAGAUAUUUUGCUAAGCUAGGUGCCUAUAAGAUAAUAUGCACACAGAAAGCACUCAGUAAAUGACAGUUUCCUUUUUCUCCAAUCUUACAAGGUCCUAGAUCCUGUUGGUAACUAAGAAAAGGUAAAUGCAACUAUCAACCACUUAAUUCCAAUGCUUUGACUAUCCAGGAGAAAUUAAUUCCUGGUUCCCUGUUGAUUCUAAUCUAGGAGACAGCUUAAGGGAGCUCAUGGGUCUUGAAGCUUAUAAGGUGUACAGUAAGUCUUCACUUAAUGCCACUGAUCAUUCUUGGAAACUGUGAUUUCAGGCAAAAAUACAUACAGCAGGUCCUUGAAUAGUGUUGUUUCAUUCAACUUCAUUCCAUUGUAAUGUUGAUGAGAACAAAAAAUUGGUUUUGUUAUAUGUAGUUUUGCUUCAAGUCGCAGUUUCAAAAAACUUAUGUUAAGUGAGGACUUAAUUCACCUGAAAGCUUAUCACACACUCAAAUAUAACAAAUAGGAAACAUUAUGCAACUUGAAUACAAGAGUAUGUUCAUUGGUUUCUAUAGUUAUCAUUCCAUGUACAGUAUUCACGUGAAUUAUUGGAUGAAAAGUCCAAUUAUUUACAUAUUUGGAUACAAUCAUACUAUACUAGAACUGAAGACCAUACAGGUCUCUGUUCCAGCAUUUUCUGGCUACCUCAUGGCACUGCAUAAUCACUUCCACCCAAAUCUAGCCAAAUCUAAGUUUAAGCACUUCUGUAUCUAUUCCAAGACAAACUCCCUUUCUUGUUUAAUCUCAGUGACUCUUACUUCUAGAGAGGGCACUCUUCCUUCUAUAUCUCUUCCACCUCUAACCUUUCUAACCAUCAAGAACAUACAAUAGAUAGUAGAUCUCACAUUUUUAAUGGCACAAAUUACAAUAAAAGUUUGCCAACUGAACAGAAUUAAUAGUGGUACUCAAUGCACUUGGGAAACGAACUUUUAGUUACACCAAUCUCAAUGUGCAAUUACAGUAAGUUGCCAUAAGAAUAAUAUCUCU
rnacentral:lncRNA from 1 species